ACGCUACGGACUUAAAUUUUGAGCCUUAGUAGAGAAAUCUACUAAGUGACUGUUUUCACAUUCAGGGAAACCUAAGGUUUGAGAUAUGAGGUAAUCCUGAGCCAAAUUUUAGUUAUGAAAUAGGUGCAGAGACUCGAAGGAAACUAUCCUAACGAAAUUUUUUUCUCUAUUUUUUUUAUUACGAGUAUUGAUUCAGUGCACAGUAUAAUAAAAAUCUCUGAAUACUAAUAUUCAUAUUAUUUUUUAAAUAAAUUAUGACGAGGAUAAAGAUAGAGUCCUUUUUUACAAUCUAUAUAAUUUUUAUUUAUUAGGUAAUUGUAAAAAGAAAAUCCGUUGGCUUUAAUAGACCUUGAGGGUUCAAGUCCCUCUACCCCCA
rnacentral:tRNA from 1 species